CCCGCUGAACUUAAGCAUAUCAGUAAGCGGAGGAAAAGAAACUAACAAGGAUUCCCCUAGUAACGGCGAGUGAAGCGGGAACAGCUCAAAUUUAAAAUCUGGGAAAUACUUUCUCUGAAUUGUAGUUUAAAGAAAUGUUAUCUGGAGACGGGAGCACGUGCAAGUUCCUUGGAAUAGGACAUCACAGAGGGUGAGAAUCCCGUCUGGACGGGCGGCCGUCUCCUGGAUGAGACAUUUUCAACGAGUCGAGUUGUUUGGGAUUGCAGCUCAAAAUGGGAGGUAAAUUUCUUCUAAGGCUAAAUAUUGGCAAGAGACCGAUAGCGAACAAGUACCGUGAGGGAAAGAUGAAAAGCACCUUGAAAAGGGAGUUAAAUAGUGCGUGAAAUUGUUAAAAGGGAAACGAUUGAAGCCAGUAUGGAGAGUGGUUGUUCAACGGAAGUCGGUUGGAUGGUGAUCGCGUGCAAAGUGAUGGUCAUCACUUGUAUCGGUCAUUUGAAGCUGAUGACUGCGCAUUCUGCCAUUCUCCAGUCAAGCUCGGUUUGGCCAGUUGGACAGUGCUGGGAGAAAGAUGGUAUCACUUUUCGGAGGGGUAUUUUAUAGUCUCACGGUAGCACAACUAGCGAGACUGACGAUGAGGGUUGUCAUACCGAAUGAUGGCACUUGGUUCAUUGGUUGGUUUGGACAGCAUGCUGACCAGGCCAAUCGACAGUCAAGGUAAAUCAUUCGAUAACUUUCGCCUGACGAAAUGGUUUUAAACGACCCGUCUUGAAACACGG
rnacentral:rRNA from 1 species